UCGAAGGUUAAGAGGAUGCGUCAGUCGCAAGAUGAAGCGUUGAAUUGAAGCCCGAGUAAACGGCGGCCGUAACUAUAACGGUCCUAAGGUAGCGAAAUUCCUUGUCGGUUAAGUACCGACCUGCAUGAAUGGCGUAACGAGAUGGGAGCUGUCUCAACCAGAGAUUCAGUGAAAUUGUAGUGGAGGUGAAAAUUCCUCCUACCCGCGGCAAGACGGAAGGACCCCGUGGACCUUUACUACAACUUAGCACUGCUAAUGGGAAUAUCAUGCGCAGGAUAGGUGGGAGGCUUCGAAGUAAGGGCUUUGGCUCUUAUGGAGCCAUCCUUGAGAUACCACCCUUGAUGUUUUCUGUCUGCUAAC
rnacentral:rRNA from 1 species